ACGAGCUGCACCCCAAGGGGACCCAGGGGAUUUCCAGUUCAAAGAAUACCCUCACAAGAGAAUAAGGGUCAUCCAAGCAGAGGUGGGCAAAUUCUGGAACAAGUGGUGCCAAUUGGCAAGACCAAAUCUGUUUGUCAGGAGCAAGUGGCACACCAGGGAAUGAAAUGUUGCUGUGGGAGAUAUCAUCUGGCUCGCUGAUCAGAAUGCUUUGAGGGGUCAGUACAAACUUGCCAGGGUGGUCAGUGUCAAUCCUGAUGAGAAGGGCGUUGUGAGAGACAUGCAUGUCCAGACUUUCCCAAGCUACCCUGUCUCAGCGUUGAAACCUGCUUGGAAGGAGACCCAAGGAAAGGCAUGAAAACUACCAAAAACACUACUAAGAUUCCUGCAACAAUCCUCCAUAGAGAUGUCAGGCGGCUCAUCGUCCUGAUUCCUGUGGAAGAGCAAUAAAUGGGUGUGAUCUCCUUGGGUUAAAUAACCAGGAGCUCAAGUGGGAAUGUUUGCUUGACUCCAGUUGGAAUAAGGAGGGGACACUUCACCGGUGUGGCAAUCAUAGGGAUGUCACUGGUUAUCAACCUGUUUGCUUCUGCUGAAGAAAGUUCAAUAAAAGAAACAAAAGUAGAAGAAAUUGAGUUAUUCCUGCAUCCCCUGUGAUUAGCUUAUGCCUUUUUCAAGUUUGGGCAGCGUUUGAAGUAAAAAAA